AGGAAGCCCAAGCAACUGCGAUUGCUACAGUAAAGGCGAUUGAACUGGCAUCAACACAUGGCUCAGCCCGAAGGAGAUUCGAACCCGUCUCGCACUGCCUUGGCAGUUGCAGUCGGCUACUGUGGGUUUCACCAGAUGCUGUGGGCUCAGGAGUGGGUGGCGUGACGUCGCAGUCAGGCAGAGGCACCAGGAAGCGCCCUGGAAUGGUCCACAACAGAGGGAUAUUGUCCUGUACCCCUGGCGUGUGCCCCUGCCCCUGUGGCGCUGCUGCCUGCAUCCACGAGUAGAGCGGCUUGGGACUGCAGUUUGAAGUGCAAGGUGUAUCCCUUGCAAGGCGAAAUACCAGCGUGGGACCGAUAGCGCACAAGUAGAGUGAUUGAAGGAUGCAAAGGACUUUGCAAAGAGGGUUAAAAGUCCCUGAAGCCUUGGCAGGGUCGGCGGUGAGUAGUGCUGUGGCGCACAGUGGUGGCGAGACCUGGCGGUGGUUGAAAAUGGUGGGGCUUGCCCCUCGCCUCGACCCUGGCUCGUGUCUUCGCCCACCCUGGGCUGACCACACACCCUGUGGUUGGUGCAAACGCAUUCCAGGUGGCCUUGGGCCAGCCCUGGGCUGGCCACUGAGCCUGCCCCCCCGCCAGGGGGCAGACGCAAUCGUGGCAGCCUCCAGGUGGCACCCUGCUUGCCAGGGCCUGAGGCUUGAUGGAUCUUGAAAAGUGGCGCAGAGUGUGGGACUCACGAGGCAGCCUGGCUGCAGCAACGCAUGAGAGACGAGGCUGGGGUAGGACCCAUACCUACCACCAUGCACUCCCACGUGUGCCCUGGAGGGCUGUGUGUGGGGUUGCUGGUGGGUUUGGCUCUGGGACACCACCCCUCUGUCCUCUGGCAUCUGUGUGUGUGAGACUCUCAACACAGCACACAACACGUGGAUGCAGCGCUGGAACCUGGCGCGUCUUCGGGCGUGCCAGUCGCUAGUGCCCAGGCAUGGUUGGGGCACGCAGGGGCGUGGUGGCCCCGCCACUCGUUGGCGGCCACGGCGCACUUACGGGGCUCCCCAGAUGGUGCACAGCGCAGAUGCGCGCAACCUGGCAGUCUAGGCGGUGCUGCUCACUGCCCGUCUUGAAACACGGACCAAGGAGUCUAUAGAGCUUGCAGGUUCGCUGGUGUCAUCAUGGAAACCCGACCAGGGCGUGGUGAAAGCGAUCGUCCUCCCAGAGGGCGCUUGAGUCUGCAUGGGACACCGGCCCCUGCGUCCAGUGGACAGGGUUUUGAGUGCUUGCGAGGUCUAUGGGACCCGAAAGGUGGUGAACUAUACCGUACCACGACGAAGCCGUGGGAAACUGCGGUGGAGGUCGGUUCGCUGUUCUGACGUGCAAAUUGUGUAGCCUGAGUGCGGCAUAGGGGUGAAAGGCCAAUCGAGCCACCUAGUAGCUGGUUUCCCUCGAAGUUUCCCUCAGGAUAGCUGGGUUCGAGUGCGCCUUCAAGACCUGAGUGGUUACGUCCGGUAAAGCAACGCAUGAGAGGCAAUCCCCUGGGAGGCUUCCCUCCUAGACCUAUUCUCGAACUGUGAAUGGGCGUGGCGAACCCUAAGAGAGGCACGCUUCUUCAUCGAUGCCUGAGGCAGGUUUGGCUGGGGCUUCGUUCCCCUCCCCUGUUCUCCAGGGCUUCUGAGCGUGUUCUGGUUGACGGCGACCUCUCUCUGGGCGAGUUGCGUGCACACCCUACCCUUGGCCUGGGGGUGAGGGCUGAAGAGAAGGCUUGGUUCUCUGGCAUCUCUGGUACCCUGGCAGCGUGAGCCCUCGGUGUCUUCUCUAUGGGCUUUGGGUUGUGGCGAGAAGUGAGCCCCCUCUGGUUGGGGAUAUGUGGCUUGAAAGAGAGGAACCUCCCCUCUGGCAUCACAUGAUGGCCUGCUCGGGCGCAAGGUGGUCGCUUGCAGUGGCGUGUGCUGCAUUCACCCCCAUGAUGGGUGUUGGGUUGAGGUGGUGUCACAUCACAUGCACCCCUGAAGGGGCUGUGUGCUCUGUGGCUCCCCCUUCCCUUCUCCCCUCUCUGGUGUGUGUGGACUGUGGCUUCACCCCCUGGCAACAACGAGUGAUGGCAGUGGUGCUCUUGUGGGUGUGCAACUUCCCUCUCGCUCUGGCUUUGCAUCCCUGGGAUGUCUCUCUCUCCCCCUCCCCUCUGGCUGUGGCGUUUGCCAGUUGGCCCCGGCUGGGGCAGGCAGAGUGUCGAGGGCCCCUUCCAAGGCCCCCCCUGGGACAGGUGGCUUGGUUGCUGUCCCCAGGUGCCCGAUGAGAGUGGCUGGCAAGUCAUGGUGAACAAGUGUGCCUAUGUGGACCAAGAUUGGUAAGCAGUGCUGGUGAUGCGGGGUGCUCCGAGAGUGGAUUUACAGAUCCCGAGUGCUGGCUCAUACACAGACCCCACAAAGGAUGUCGCCUGAUUUGGAUAGCAGGUCGGUGGCCAUGAAGGUUGGAACCCGCUGAGGAAUGUGUAACAACUCACCUGCCGAAUCGCGCAGCUCCAAAAAUGGAUGGUGCCCAAGUCAGUGAAGCCGAGUUUGUCUUACAGUCCACCGACGCUGUGGCAGCAGAGCAGAGCAUCGUUUGUGUAGAAAGGACAUUGAGGACUGCUGUGCAAGUUGGGGGUGACCCUGGCUGGAGCGUCCUCUGGCGCAGAUCUUGGUUGCAGUAGCGAGUACUCCAUCGGGUGAAGAGCAGAUCAAAAACACCCCUGCUGUGUGUGGUUGAGGACUGGAGUGGAGCAGGCUUCCGCACCAAACAGCCGUUGAAUGCGGGUCAGCCGACCGUGAGCCAAGUGGUAAAUCACCGAACAACCAAAGCUGUCUCUGGAACUCUCGCGUGACUCGCCCUGGCGCCCCCCUGCGGGGGGGAGGCUGGGUGGUGCUGGGCACACCACAGGCGGUGGUGGUGACUUGUGUGGCUUCCCAGAGGGGUCUCCCUCUCCCUGAAGGGAUGGGGUCCCUCGCCCCACAACCCUCCCGACUGUGUCCCAGGACCUGAGCGCGUGUGGGGUGUCUAUACCUGGCAGGAGUGGCAAACAGGCAAGCAUGUGCAACAUUCUGCUGCGAUGGGCUUGGAACGCCUAUGACUGGUGGUGACGCCUCGUGAAGUGGGGCAAGCAGGCUGCGGGGCAGUGCACCCCCUGGGGAGUUCUCGUUUCCUCCUGAUGCAGUUCCAGUGGACUACCAAUUGUCAUGGCAGAUGGCGACGUACGUCCUCCACUCAGCAAGGCAGCGCGCUCUCUGCGCUGGUGGUGUGCAAAAGCAAAGCGAAAACCACGUGUGUGGUUCCUCUCUGUAUGGUGGUCACUGGCUCCACUGAACAGCCUGUGGUGACGCUGUGUUCCUGGUCCCUGGUUCUCGUACUGAAUCACCGCAGCCGGUCUCCUCGGCUGGACGCCGCUGGUCGACAGAUUGAAUGCAGCUAAGGGAAGUCGGCAAACUAGCCAUGUACCUUCGGAAGAUGUGGUGGCUCCAGAGGCCAAGUCACUGGGCCCCGCAGCAGGCUACGUCUGAGUGAGGGAGGCCACCCUCUCGUGGCUGCUUCGGUUGCUGUGUGAGGGCUCUGGCUACCCUCGCCAGUGUGGUUUUGCAGUGGGUGGGUCGUCUGUCGCCUUCGGGUGUUCAGGCGUGCCCUCCCCAGUGUCUACACAGUGGCUCACGUGGAACUGUUGCUGUGCAGGGGAAUCUGACUGUUUAAUUGAAACACAGCUUUGUGACGGGACCAGCUGGCUGGUACCAUGAGGUGACUUCUGCCCAGUGCUCUGAUUGUCAAGGCGAAGAGAUCCAGCCAAGCGCGGGUAAACGGCGGGAGUAACUAUGACUCUCUUAAGGUAGCCAAAUGCCUCGUCAACCAAUUAUUGACGCGCAUGAAUGGAUCAACGAGAUUCCUGCUGUCCCUAGGUGCUGUCUGGUGAACCAACAGCCAAGGGAACGGGCUUGGGCGUGUCAGCGGGGAAAGAAGAGCCUGUUGAGA
rnacentral:rRNA from 1 species